rfam:Spironucleus salmonicida unplaced genomic scaffold scf7180000020672, whole genome shotgun sequence.
GACACUUUGGCCGAGUGGUUAAGGCGAAAGACUAGAAAUCUUUUGCACGUUGUGCGCAUGGGUUCAAAUCCCAUAGGUGUCG